UGGGGGAUAUUGCACAAUGGGCGAAAGCCUGAUGCAGCGACGCCGCGUGGGGGAUGAAGGCCUUCGGGUUGUAAACUUCUUUUGCUCUGAACAAGGCAUGCUAAUGGGUGUGUUGAGUGUAGGGGUUGAUUAGCGCCGGCUAACUACGUGCCAGCAGCCGCGGUAAUACGUAGGGCGCGAGCGUUGUCCGGAAUUAUUGGGCGUAAAGGGCUUGUAGGUGGCUGGUUGCGUCUGUCGUGAAAGCUCAUGGCUUAACUGUGGGUUUGCGUGUGGUACGGGCUGGCUUGAGUGCAGUAGGGGAGGCUGGAAUUCCUGGUGUAGCGGUGGAAUGCGCAGAUAUCAGGAGGAAUACCGGUGGCGAAGGCGGGUCUCUGGGCUGUUACUGACACUGAGGAGCGAAAGCAUGGGGAGCGAACAGG
rnacentral:rRNA from 1 species